ensembl:lncRNA
AAAAUCAACAUGUCUAUGGUAGUAAUCUCUAAGAUUAUUACAUAGUUGAUUGAUUAAGUUUAUCUCGAUACUCUCAAUGAUCCUGUAUCACCACAGAUGUCAUAUAUCCCGGUCCUGUUGGCUUAGAAUAUGUCCUAAAUACUUAACAUAAGUCUACCAUUAUUAAAGUUAUUCUUGCUAACUGUAUAACCUUAUUCAACAACAAAGUAUAAUAAUAUUAUUGUAUCAAUUUCACAGCCUUGUUGUGUUACAUUUCUUACACUGCUGACUACCUAAGGGAAAAUAAAACUUAGCUAGGUUACUAAACAUUACUUAAGCCAAAAUAGUGGGAGUUUUAAAAUAACCUUAUGGCAAUUUUUUAUAAACCCACCAUUGCCCCAUUUCUAACACGUAAUUAUCCAUGAGAGUAAUGUAUAAAAAAUACUACUACUGGUCAAAAGAUAAAAACAAUUUUAAAAUAACAUAAUCAGACCAAAACCACUACUCUGAAAAACUCCACAAAGAAACAAUAUUUUACUCUUAUUGUGCUAGGAAAAUAAACUUAAGGAAGCCUACCCUUAGUCAAAGGCUAUGCCCUUACUUUCUUCUCCUUGGUGCAAAUUACAAAUAUGUCUAAGAACUUUAAACUCAAUCAUAAAUAUCACCUACACAAAUUACCUUAAAUCAGUAUUACAAAUUACCUUAAAUUCAUUAUCCAAAUGGCUUUCCAAUAAGGCUGAUCAAACCACCAAGGAAAGCCAUGAUAGAGGUCAUAAGUCAAAGCACCCCUUCAAAGAAGUGUUUCUUACUAUAUUAGAAAAACCGUCAAACAUUUUCAACAUGUUGUAUCCCAGGUUCCCAGAGCAUUUCUCUAUCAAAAGAAUUCACGUGUUUAAUUAAAACUCAGAAAGAAAAAAAAAUUCCAUGUGUGUGCGUACCCCUUUAAGAUAUCGUGGCUCUAGGAAAAAUGGAAAUCUCCUUUAAGAUAUCGUGCCACUCCUGUCUUUACAGAGUCUGAAGUUCCAAUGUAUGCAGAUGAUACAUUGGUAAAUACAUGCAAAUAGUAAACAACAAACUACACAAGACCUCACUAAAAAGAAAACAACUGAUGCCCCUGAGACAGAUGUCUACGAUUUUAAGUACCACGGCAUCAUACUUGAUUCCAACCUCUCUUUUAAAAAGCAAGCGAAAAAUGUAACUCAAAUAACCAAAUUCAACCUAGCUAACUUACAAAACAUAUGAAAUUGUUUGACUACAGAGGUAAUGAACUGUACUUCAAAUCUAUGAUACUCCCCUUCCUUAAAAUAACAACUGACUAGUUUGGCCCAAGCUUGCUUUACAACAUUAAACCCCAUUCAGUCUUUCUGCAAACAGGCUCUCAAAGUGGUUGAUAGGAAGCCCGAUAGCUAUAAUUACUGUUACAUUCUCAGAAAGCAUGAUCUCCUGCAUUGGAAAAAAUCUUGUGCAAUACACUGACACAUGUCUUGUAUUCAAGAUUCUAAAUGUCCAGGCUCCCCCUCCACUCAGUAAUGACCGGACAUUGUUCCACGUAAUGGAAACAGAUUAUAAUGUUAGAAUACAUUAAACUUCCUACUCAAAUUCACCAAGCACGAUCAUCAGAAACUUAACUUUUCCUUAUUCACACCUGAAUCCCUUACAGCCCAACAUAGCCCAGUGCGCACACCCAACUCUCCUAUUCUUACCAGUAGGCAAAAAUAUACCUCUCAUCCCCGGUUAAUUCCAGGACCUCCUUUGAGGAUUUACCACCCAUAUUAUUCAAUUACGUUCCUUGUUAUUAUGCUUAUUCUCACAUUCUAUGUGUGUGCAUUUACUGUUUUUAUACAUAAAUCUUACAAUCUAUGUGUGUGCUCUUAUUCUCAUAUGUAUUUAAUAGUCCCAGACUACUUCCCAUAUAUUUGUACUUAUCCCAGACUACUUCCCAUAUACAUGUAAGUGUCCCAGACUAUUUUGAUACAGGGUAGUUUAUUUUGGUAAUGGCCCCAACUACCUUGAAUCAUUGCGGACUAAAUUUCGUUCAAUACUCAGCCCCCCGUUUGAUAUUUAUCUAGACACUUUGUUACUUUUGAACUUUCUCUAUAUAAACUUCUAAAACAAAAAGGUAUACUGAAUAUGAAUCCUCCUGGACUUUUGUGAUUAUCACCUUACCUACACAAGAUUUAUAACAAUGUAUACAAUGUCUAAUGCAAGUUUAGAUUCUUCCCCCAAAAAUCUAUGAAUAAAGACUACUGACCUUAUUCUUGCAGCUGAGAAUUCAAUUUUGGUUGGAACUUGUCACCGUUUCUGUCACGCACCAGUUUGCCACCGGCCUGUAAAGAACCCUCAUAAAGGGGCCAGGUCUUUAAUCUACGGAUAUUUAAUCCGCCUGUGCACGGUUUCGGUGUCUCCAUGGAGUGACAGAAAAAGAUAUUGAAAUCCGGCUCGAAAGGACCAAGCUGUCACGAGAAUUUUCAAUCCCAAUGAUAUUAACUAACAAUCAAUAAGCUUGGACCAAUCCCGAGGGUUGUAAGACCCUGGGUUUAAUAAUAAUUAGGCAAAGACUCAGCUUAUGCAAAAGGUUUGUUGUAGUUUAUUCAUGAGAGCUCUAAAAACUAUAUAACUCCUACAAGCACCUACAAGUCUACAAGCACAUCUGUUCCUCCCUGGGUGGAGGAACUUUAUCUUCUGUCCUUGGUCUCACAGUUCCUCUUUAUCACACAUAAACACAAUGUUCCCACUGUCUCACAAUAUUCUAGUAUUAUGUCUAAAAACAUUGUCUAAGCUUAGGAUCGGGCUGAAUUACUGCCCCCUUUGGAGGAAGUGCGUGCCCAUAGUAAACAGAAUUUAUUUUUGUCCAAAAUUGCUAAUAUAUGCAUAUAAUAAUUAUUAUUGAAUAGAAAACACUCUAAAGUUUCUAAAACCGUUUAAAUUAUGUCUGUAUGUAAAGCAGAACUCUCAGGGCAGCCAUUCUCCCAAACUCUCUCUUGGCAACAGAAAAGUUGGGACAACUUUCACGUCAUCGCCCCCACCCUUCCCAACCAGCUACGGAUCUGGGAACAGUUUCUAUGUGUUCAGCGCGAUGUCUGCUUUCAAAUGGGGCGUUCAUUGUGAGAAUCUCGCGCGCCCUUGUCCUUUGGCGGGCUAAAACGUUCGGGUCACGCGAAAAUACAUGCACUCUAUUGCGCGCGUCUGAAUUGGAGCUCUCUUUUUCCAUGAAACACCAAUCGAUGUCGGUUUGUCUGUUCGAGCUGAUAAUUGUUUUACACGUUUAAAAGAUCCUAAAGCUUGAUUCUGCACUUAGUUUGACCAGUUUAGUCGACAUAUAAUAUGUAAUUUUUAAGUUUUGUUGCGCAAGAGUGCGGGACCAGAAGUCAUUUUGGGUGCAUUUCAGCUGAAGCUGUUAGCAUAUGCUAAUACAGAGACACACAACUUGAAACCAAACGAUGUAUUGGGUAAGUAUAACUCCUUCCACGUCUUCUGAUUGAAGAACAUCAAAGGUAAGGGAAUAUUUAUGUGGUUAAUUUUGGGUUUCUGUGGACUCGUAGAGGAGAUAUACUGCUAAUAUCUGAGCGCCGUCUCAUAUUAUAGCCUAGUGAACGAAUUCUGUAACGUUAAAAAUAAAUGUAACACAGCGGUUGCAUUAAGAAGAAGUGUAUCUUUGUAACUAUAUGUAGAACAUGUAUAUUUAGUCAUGUGUAUUGCUUGUUAUCUGACGUUAUCUGUCGGAGCUAUCAUCAUUUCUCCGGACAUUUGAGUAUCAUUUUUUGAAAAUGUCGUCAUUGUAAACAGAGAUUUAUGGAUAUAAAUGGCAUAUUAUUGAAAAAAACAUAAAUGUACUGUGUAACAUGUCCUAUUACUGUCAUCUGAUGAAGAUUUUCAAAAUGUUAGUGAAUGAUUUAUUUUUUAAUCCUGCUUUUAUAAUUUUAUAUUUUCUGGGACAAAAUGGCUGCCUCUUGUCUUUGUUUCGGUGGUGGUCUAAUAUAAAUAUGUGGUAUGUUUUCGCCGUAAAACAUUUUAGAAAUCUGACUUGCUGGGUAGAUGAACAAGGUGUUUAUCUUUCAUUUGAGCUAUUGGACUUGUUAAUGUGUGGAGGUUAAAUAUUUCUAAGAAUAUUUUUUGCAUUUUGCGUUAUGGUAAUGAGCUUGAGCCUGUAGUCACGAUCCCGGAUCCGGGAUGGCUAGUUUCAAGAGGUUUGUCAUUCAGAUUCUCUUAUUAUUAGUUUAAACAUAUAAAUUCCCUUAUCACUUGUUUUGUAUUCGUUCGUUUUCAUUAAACUCACACUGCACUUGCUUCUAGACUCCUUGUGUCUACGUUACAGAUACAAACUAUUUUCAAAUGAAUCUUGUCUUUACUAAUAUGUAAAAUUUGUUUUGAUUUAGAAUGGCCUAUUAUCAAAUGGACAGUAACAGGGGCAAUUGUUUAAAAUAUACAUGUCAACGGUGUGUACCACAUAUCAACGGAAUAGACCACUUUCCCGCCAGUUAAUUUCGCUUCACUCAUGUCGGGUAGGCAACUUCACCCAAACUCUGUAUGCCAUGGGCUCUCCAACCCUGUUCUUGCAGCUACUUGGUGCUUAAUUUGGGAAACCAACUGAAAUCUGUUCGGGAACAUCGAUAGUAACAUGUUUUCACAGCGACACAUAGUUCAUUAAACUUGACAGCCCCAGGGGAGGAGAUGGAAACUCACCGUGGUGAAAUAUUCUGUAGCUAAAGGUAAUGUACUGUCCAUUUUGUUGUUAGGCUUUGAAACAACAUCCACAACUACCAUGUUUCCACUCUUCUUUCUUCAAAUUGAUCAAUCGCAAUCAGGUGAGUUUUUAAAGCACUUACUGUUUUGAUAAGUGUUUGACGUGCUUUCCGAUUGCAUUUGCAUUGAUGAUAGAGGGACAACAGAGCCCUGAGUACCAGGCCAUUAGCGACCUGUCCGGAGUGCAUAAAAAGAGGAGAUUACUGCGGUCAUGACUCAUCACUGCCGGUGUGGCGGUAAAACAGUCGCCGCAGCAGCCAAUGUGUGAUUGUAAUUGUUACAUGUUAGGGAUAAAACAUAAAUAAACUGCACACUUAAAAUAUGCUACAAACAAUUAAAUUGUUAGGAGCGUAUUUAGAGCAUCCAACUUUCUUUUUAUACAGUUUACUUUCAGUUAGUCAGCACCUCGACCAAGAUUUGUGGAUGUGCGUAAGCACAUGCAUUUUACGAGACAUGCGAAGGAUAAACCCCAACUGGUUGGACACUCAGGGGAUUAGGAUAAAUGAUCAUUUGCGGUUAAAUGUGUGUUCUUUGUAUUUUCUUUAGUAUUUUUUACAGCUGUUCUCCCCAGAGAUUUUAUCAUCAUUAGACACACUUUAGCAACAGCUGAUUUUGCUUCAACUGCAAAGGCUGCAGUUGAAUGGUUUGACCCCGUCAGAGGUUCCGGACGUGACCGAACUUUGAUUUCCGGUGUCCUCACUGGAACAUUUGAAGAGAGUUGAGGGAAAGAUUGCUAGGCAACCAGACCUAAAAAAAACUGGUUUGGGAAGAUAUUAAAUCAUUAAAUGCAGUGUUGAAAAGCAAUUCCCCAGAACCAAUCUGAACCAGAAUGCCGUUCCACCUCAAAACGUCCAGCCCUGGGUGUACCAUCACCUUGGUGCUUGACCCCUUCUGAUGAAUAAACCUAUUUUGAAACAGUACUCUAAUCAGUAUUAUCUUCAUGACAUACCCGUUUGUUGUCUUUCAGAUCACAUCUUUUGGACUGGCUGGAGGAAUGACCACCAAGGAGAAUGUGUGGAGAAUACUAACAAAACUCCUGACAAAUGCCCUGGCCAUGAAGAGGAACUGGAGAGGGGCCAAUGGGAUGCAGGCAUUCCAACCGCUCACCCUGUAAGGCGUAGUUCUCAGUGCUAUCUGGCGAAACCACCAUAGAACCAAAGCUUCUGAUGGUGAAAUUGAGAAAUACAUCAAGAGGUGGAUGCAGCUGGCCUCUGACUGAGACGAAGGGAGAAAGAAGAGAACGCGACUGAGGGGAGAAGAAGACCAGAGCGGAGUAGAGGAGUGAUGUCACUACACCCUUCACUAUGCCCUACCCACUAAGCACAAUAACAAGGGAAUGCUGUUACCAUAACAAAACCAAUUUCGCUAAGAGGAAAUCUUGGUCCGUUUUAUUUUUACUAUGCAAUGGGUGCUAAAAUAAAUGCUUUUUAUCUUUUACAUGUUUUUUGUUGUUGAAGUAUGAUGUUUUUACACAGUUGCAACUUUAUUUGGUCCUUAUAAGCCUAUGCUGUCUUUGCCUACGAUGCAAUUGUCACCACUGAAAACCUUCAUGCAGAAUUUGGCUAGAUAUGCACUACAUAUACAAAAGUAUGUGGACAGCCAUUAAAAUUAGUAGAUCCCUGCCCCGCUCCCUGCCCCAAUGCAUAGUGCCAACUGUAAAGUUUGGUAGAGGAGGAAUAAUGGUCUGGGGCUGUUGUUCAUGGUCCGGGCUAGGCCGCUUAGUUCCAGUAAAGGGAAAUCAUAAUGUACAGCAUAGAAUUACAUUCUAGACAAUUAUGUGCUCCAACUUUGUGGCAACAGUUUGGGGAAGGGCCUUUCUUGUUUCAACAUGACAAUGCUCCUGUGCACAAAUCAAGGUCCAUAUAGAAAUGGUUUGCUGAGAUCGCUGCGGAAGAACUUGAAUGGCCUGCACAGAGCCAUGACCUCAACCCCAUCACUGUGGAAGAACUUGAUUGGCCUGCAUAGAGCCCUGACCUCAACUCCCACUAACACUCUUGUGGCUGAAUGGAAGCAAGUCCACACAGCAAUAUUGCAACUUCUAGUGGAAAGCCUUCCCAGAAGAGUGGAGGCAGUUAUGGCAGCAAAGGGGGGACCAACUCCAUAUUAUUGCCCAUGAUUUUGGAAUGAGAUGUUCGAUGAGCAGGUGUCCACAUUCUUUUGGUCAUGUAGUGUAUUUUCUUAUAUUCACUGACUGGACAUAUGACAUGUUGUGGAAUAGGACCGUCAUUGUGAGAUUUUUUUCAUAAGGUACUUUACUACAACCAUCAAAGGUUGCUUGUUCAAACCCUGACAUCCGUCUUAUAACUACCUAAGCAGUUUUCAAAAAGAAAACCCUGAGACAGUCAUCACUUAGAUGUAUGAGGCCAUGCACAUUAUUCACCAAAUUCUCUGUACCAUAAAACUGGCCAAAAUGCUCUACAAAAGACACUGUUACAAUUAUGUUGAAAAACUGCAGCUUCCAUGGCCCCACAGCAAAGUUGAUAUAGCAGUGAACGUUCAUAAUUUUUUAAACCACCACCAGAGAGAGAUUGAUGUCAAUGGUAUUGGUGUUAAGUUUUUAGUUUUUAGUUGAAGUCACAGGCCAUGCUGGAGACUGUAGUUUAUAUUUUGGGCUCUACUCCCUACUCCCUAUGGGAUUUUUAAAAUGAAAUGUGAUAUCUUUCCUGUUAAAAUAAAAAUAAUAAAAUAUCAUUCUGAGCAAUGAGUAAAUGUCUACUUGUUCAUUGUUUAAGGUUGUGACAGCUGUUUGUAUUUUGAUAUAGCAUAAUGCAACUGAAGUGAAAAAUAUUAUGGGGGUGGAUGGGU